UGGGGAAUUUUGCACAAUGGAGGAAACUCUGAUGCAGCGACGCCGCGUGAGUGAUGAAGAUCUUCGGAUUGUAAAACUCUGUCCUUAGUGAAGAUAAUGACAGCAACUAAGAAGCAAGCCCUGGCUAAAUACGUGCCAGCAGCCGCGGUAAUACGUAUGGGGCAAGCGUUGUCCGGUAUUAUUGGGCGUAAAGGGUACGUAGGCGGUUUAAUAAGUCCUAAUUAAAAGGCUAUGGCUCAACCAUAGUAUGGUUAGGAAACUGUUGAACUUGAGUAGAUGAGGGGAAAGUGGAAUUCCAUGUGUAGCGGUGAAAUGCGUAGAUAUAUGGAGGAACACCAGUGGCGAAGGCAACUUUCUGGAAUCAAACUGACGCUGAGGUACGAAGGCGUGGGGAGCAAACAGG
rnacentral:rRNA from 1 species